UCUUAGGUAGAAUAGUGGUUAGUAUUCGCGCCUGUCAUGAGGAUUUAACUCUAGGCCGCGCGAGACCGGGGUUCAAUUCCCCGCCUGAGAG